rnacentral:rRNA from 1 species
AUGAACGCUGGCGGCGUGCCUAAUACAUGCAAGUCGAGCGAACAGACGAGGAGCUUGCUCCUCUGACGUUAGCGGCGGACGGGUGAGUAACACGUGGAUAACCUACCUAUAAGACUGGGAUAACUUCGGGAAACCGGAGCUAAUACCGGAUAAUAUAUUGAACCGCAUGGUUCAAUAGUGAAAGACGGUUUUGCUGUCACUUAUAGAUGGAUCCGCGCCGCAUUAGCUAGUUGGUAAGGUAACGGCUUACCAAGGCGACGAUGCGUAGCCGACCUGAGAGGGUGAUCGGCCACACUGGAACUGAGACACGGUCCAGACGCCUACGGGAGGCAGCAGUAGGGAAUCUUCCGCAAUGGGCGAAAGCCUGACGGAGCAACGCCGCGUGAGUGAUGAAGGUCUUCGGAUCGUAAAACUCUGUUAUUAGGGAAGAACAAAUGUGUAAGUAACUAUGCACGUCUUGACGGUACCUAAUCAGAAAGCCACGGCUAACUACGU